rnacentral:rRNA from 1 species
GUCACACCACGAGAGUUUACAACACCCGAAGUCAGUGGCCUAACCGCAAGGAGGGAGCUGCCUAAGGUGGGGUAGAUGAUUGGGGUGAAGUCGUAACAAGGUAAC